GGGAAGAAAGGAAGGAACUCAUUAACUCCUCAUGACCCCCUAUAAAGCAGGGCCAAGAGACCUGAGUCAUGAGAAGGGGCAGUCCCAGAGCCAAGAGGCAGCCAUGAGGAGGUGGGGACCUCCCUGAGGUGAGAAGCAGGGUGCCAUCAGCUUGCCAGCCACCCAGAAGGGGUCAAGAGCAGGAUGAGACCUGGGAACAGCUUCUGAGAAUGGAGUCAGCCAGUCGGGCAGCCAGGCAGCGGAAGGAGACUGUUUACAGGAACUGGCGGCCAUUGCCAUGACAACCGGGCAGCCUACAGCUUCCUGCGUCAAGCACAGGUCUGUGCUUGGCUGGGAUGUGUGAGGACAAUGGUAGGGACAGGGCACUGGCGAAGGGAGGGACAGCGUACACCCAUGGCAGGGAAAGAGGAUUCUAAUUUUUUUCUUUUUCUUUUUUAAUCUAGCACUGGGGACUGAAUCCAGGGCCUUCACCCUGAACUAGACCCCCAACCCUUCUUUUUUUUCCAUUUUAAUUUUUUUAUUUUGAGACAGGAUCUCAUUCAAUCACUGAGUUGCCCAAGCGGGGCUUCAACUUACGAUUCUCCUGCCUCAGCCUUCCAUAGUUCGGGGACUACAGCUCCUUCCACAAAGAUGUAUCUCUUGAAGGAAGCAAAGAUCGGUUUUGCUCAAGGUUGCAUUCCCAGAUAUUGAAAUAUGCAAGAUUCCAGGAGAUGUGGGAAAUUCUACAUCAGAAUGAAGACUAUUUUACUGCAGUCUUUUAAAAGAAUGAAAAGUGAUGCCAAAACUCAUGGUGAACAAAAUGUCAACGUGCUGGUUUAUAUGUAGAUGUCCCCCUAAGCCUCAAGCAAUCAUAGGCAGGACCCUGAAGGUAACUGGGUUGUAGGAGUUUACAGCUGACUGGGGUUAGGAGGUGGGGCCUGGUCGGGAGAGAUGGGUCACUAUGGGUGUGACCAGAGGGGUGUAUCUCCUGUCCCUGGCUCUCCCUUUGAUGCUCUGCUUCCUCUCUGCCAUGAGCUAAGCAGUUUUUCUCUGCCCAGGCCUUUCCAUGUCUCCUACCAUGCAUGGCCUGAAAUGUCUAAAAUAGGAGCCAACACUUCUUAGUUGUGUCUGGUAUUUUGUUCCUACAGUGAGGAACGUGACUAAGCCCAUCGAACGUCACAUAAAGACUGGAUCUAACCCUGCAUAUGUCGCCUUUCCUGGCCCUUCCAGAGCUGUUGCCCAAGUGCAUUCACAGUGCUCUGCGGAUGGGGCCCAGAGGUGUGGAGGGGAGACCUCCCGACCAGUAACUGUGGAGGACUCGGGAUUUUGACUUCUGGUGUGCUGGCUCCCUACACAGGUCUCUUAAACUCUGUGCUUUCCAGGCUACUGAGUAAAUAACCAUGCUUGAUCCUUUUGACAGAGGGUGUUAUCUAGUGAAAUCAGACAGAUUUGCGUUAAAAUCCAUGCAAACUAGAACAGGAGACAAGCCUACAAAAGAAGGAGCAGCAGGAGCUUGGACAGUCCCGUCGGUGUUCUGCUCUUGUUUACUCCGUCUCCGAAUAGGAAUGCAGCACCUUCCUGGCAGUGUUUUGUGAGGACAGGGAAAAGAGCAUGCAGUGACCAUCCAGGGGACAUGCAGGACACAGUCUGUGUAUGUGUCCAGGGGUUCUCUGAAGCCCCUGCCUGAAUCUGAGUGAGUGUGAACCCCCCUAUACCAGUGGUGGCGAACCCAUGGCCCACGAGCUGCAGCGAGCUGUUUGUAUCAUUGAACACUCUGAAAGGUUCACCAUCACUGCCCCUGACUAGGACUGGUCCAACUGUUACCCCCGCACCGAGCAGAGUCGGUGCUCAAUAAAUGCACGUAGAAGGCAAAGAGAAAAAAGGAGGGAGGUAGAUAAAAGGGAGGCAAAAGAGGUGUCCUCACUGAUCUCAGAAUCACACAUUCAAGUAUCACACAAUCACAUAUUCAAGACUGAGAAGCAGAAGGUGCCAGGCUGAGUUUGUUUAGCGACCUACAGAUGGGUGGAGAGUGCAGCCAGGAGGCCUGGAAUUCUUCUGAGCCUAAACCAUUCCCAGAGGGCCUCUGGCCCCCUGUGGUGAUGCUCGUGAGUGCUUAAGGAGGGACCAGGGCUCUUGCUGAGCUGCUGACAUGCGGUAGGGCCUUGGCAAGCAGCAGGAAUCCGGAUCUCUGUGCUGAUCUGUGGAAUGGCACUGGUAGCGCUUUCUGGGGGUUGUGAGCAUCAGUGUGGCCCAAGAUGUCUGUGAGCCUCUGAUGGAGGUUUCUCCAGCUCAUGUCAGAGAAUGAGAAAAAUAAGGAUCACGUAAGCAGGUUUUCAUGGCUGUUCUGAUUGCUGGCGGGAUAUGCACUGUGACAGGGGACCUUGGUGUGACAGCAGUCAGACCUGCAGCCCCAGAAGCCCAGAACUCUGGGAGGCUAAGGCAGGAGAAGUGAUGAGUUCAAGUCUUCCCUGGGUAGCUUAGUAAGACCCUGUCUGGAAAUGCAAGAAUGAAAAAGGAGGUGGGGGAACGGUGCAUCCCUGUGAUACCUGUGCUCGGCAGGGGUCACUGUGGGCUUGAGCCCAGGCUGGAUUACAUAGUGAGUUCAAGGUCAGCUUGAACUAUGUUAUGAGACCCUGUGUUAAAAAACAAAGAAUCAAAAAGGGAUGGGAGUGUAGCUAAGUGGAAAGGUCCGGGAUUCAAUCCCUAGUAUUGAGGGGAGAAAAAAAGACCCAUAGAAAGCUCGCAAACCCUUUUAUCAACAACUUGACUUUCCAGGAUAUUUCUUUAGAGAAGUCCACACACAAUAUGAAGUGAGUUCCGUUUGAACUGACAUUUGGGUAUUUUUUUUUUUUUGGCUCAAUAUUUAACAAAUUAUUUAUUGAGCACUUGCUAUAUACCAGAUGUAUUUCUAUUCCUCGGAAGCACAACUGUGAGAAAAACUAAUAAAAAUCCUGUGUUCAUGGAAUUAUAUUCUGUGAGACAGAGAUAAAUAAUAAACAAAAUAAAUACAUAAGUGCAAUGAAUAAGAAUAAAUCAAACAAGGAGAUGGAGUGUGACUGUAUAUAGUUGCUAUUUUAAGUAGAGUCAUGAGAUAAAAGGGUUAUUGAAGUGACCAAAGAGGUGAGGCUGAGAGUCACGUGACUGGCCUGGAAUAGAUGGUCCAAAUAGAGGAAAUAGCUAGAGCAAAGGUCCUGGGGUGGAAGUGUGCUUUGCACAUCAGAAAAUUGACAAGCAUCAUGGAAGGGAAAGAUGAGCUUAAGACAGGCAAUCUGGGAUGGCAGAGAUGGGAAGCGGGUAGCAUCAUUAGGGCCUGUGGCGAGCAUGUUUGAGGACCAGGGAAGAGGCAACCACACUGGAGCAGAAUGGUGAAAGCAGGAGACGGUGAACUGUGGCCUUGCAAACCACACCAAGGACUUCAGCUUGUACUCACCAUGUGCUGGGAGGCCUUGGGAGGGCUUGGUGAUGAAGUGACAGGUCGGACUGGUAGUUGGAUGAUUCUCCUCUGGCCACUGGGUUGAGAAGAACCUGCAAGAGACCCAGGGAGGAAGCAAGGAGCCCAGUCUGGCAGCUGCUGUAAGGACUGGGCAGUGACAACGGGGGCUGUGGCAGUGGCGGGCUGAGAAUGCGGAUUCCUGGCCUGCCUUGCAGGCAGAGUCCAGAGCAGCUGCGCACAGGCCACUCGUUCCAGCACUGAGGGCGACCGCCGAAGUGCAGAAGCUGCUCAGUACUCAACAGCAGGAGACCAGCAACUUCCUGGGAAGAAGACGUGAGGCUGGCUUGCAAGGAGCGAGGAAGCUCUUCGGGCGUGAAUGCAGCCUGAUUUCCAAAAUAUAUUAAGGGAAAAGAAGAAGGUGAAGCAGUGUCUAUAGUACGUUACUAUUUAUUUGUGGUAAAAUAAAGCAAAGCAAAAUAAAACACACAUAUACGCGCUUGGGUGUUGGCAACAAUCAUCUCUAGUACUGGCCUGUCCAGGUGGGACAGCUGGGAGUCCGAUGGCAUGGAGGACACUGCUCUUCCCUGGAAUUCUGAAUUGUGGACAUUGUACCUUUUCUGGGCAUUCACAACUGCAGGUGAUUUUUGUCCCCCAAAGGACAGCUGGGGACCUCUGGAGACAUUUUUGAUUGUUGCAACUGAGGUGCAUGCUUGGUAUCCCCGUGGGUAAAGGCUAUGCGUGCUGCUGGACACCCCACAGAAUGAGGCAGUCCCUGGGUGCUUUGGUCAAUGAAAACAUAUAAUACAAUUUUUUGAUUAAAGAAUGGCUUCCCCUACCCUCUUUUUUCAGUGCUGGGGGAACUGAAGCUGGAGCCUCAAACGCGGUGAGUAAGCGCUCUGUCACUGAGCUACAGCCCCAGUCCCUAUAAAGAUUCUGAGACAGGGUCUCAUGAAGUUGUCCAGGCUGGCCUUGAACUUGCAGGCCUCUUGCCUCAACUCCCCAGGUAGUAAAAGAUGGUCAUUUAUUCUGAGAUGGUACGCUUUAGGGGCUGGAAUUAGCAUUUGUUUCACUAGGCAAUGAUGAAUGUGAAUAGAACAUAGUUAUUUUUUUAAAUGUUCUUACUUAGCAAAAUGAAAUAAUCCAAGGCUUGUAUACUUCCUCAGACUGAAUGGGUAAUUUAUUAGGUUGUAACAUUCUAAAGUUUGAAAACUACUCUUUCCACCAAAUGGCCUUUGGAAUACAGUGUUUUUUGUUUGUU